UUGCAUGAGGAAAUGCCUUCCUUUAGGAGCAGAGCUACAUCCACAAAAUGCUACAUUUAAAAAGGGAGUUCUCAGGGCUGCCAACCUUACAACAGAGGUUGAAUGGUAGUAUAGUUCUCCUACAAAA
rnacentral:snoRNA from 1 species